rnacentral:rRNA from 1 species
UACGGAGGGUGCAAGCGUUAUCCGGAUUUACUGGGUUUAAAGGGUGUGUAGGCGGACUAUUAAGUCAGUGGUGAAAUCCCGAGGCUCAACCUCGGAACUGCCUUUGAUACUAUUAGUCUUGAAUGUUGUUGAGGUGGGCGGAACGGGUCAUGUAGCGGUGAAAUGACAUAGAUAUGACCGGAACCACCGAUUGCGAAGGCAGCCUGCUAACGCAAUAUUGACCGCUGAGGCACGGAA